GACGAACGCUGGCGGCGUGCUUAACACAUGCAAGUCGAACGGUAACGCGGGGGCAACCCUGGCGACGAGUGGCGAACGGGUGAGUAAUACAUCGGAACGUACCCAGUUGUGGGGGAGUAGCUCGGCGAAAGCCGGAUUAAUACCGCAUACGACCUACGGGUGAAAGCGGGGGCUCGCAAGACCUCGCGCUAUUGGAGCGGCCGAUGGCAGAUUAGCUUGUUGGUGAGGUAAGAGCUUACCAAGGCGACGAUCUGUAGCUGGUCUGAGAGGACGACCAGCCACACUGGGACUGAGACACGGCCCAGACUCCUACGGGAGGCAGCAGUGGGGAAUUUUGGACAAUGGGCGAAAGCCUGAUCCAGCAAUGCCGCGUGUGUGAUGAAGGCCUCGGUUGGUAA
rnacentral:rRNA from 1 species